rnacentral:rRNA from 1 species
AGAGUUUGAUCCUGGCUCAGGACGAACGCUGGCGGCGUGCCUAAUACAUGCAAGUUGAGCGCUGAAGGUUGGUACUUGUACCAACUGGAUGAGCAGCGAACGGGUGAGUAACGCGUGGGGAAUCUGCCUUUGAGCGGGGGACGACAUUUGGAAACGAAUGCUAAUACCGCAUAAAAACUUUAAACACAAGUUUUAAGUUUGAAAGAUGCAAUUGCAUCACUCAAAGAUGAUCCCGCGUUGUAUUAGCUAGUUGGUGAGGUAAAGGCUCACCAAGGCGAUGAUACAUAGCCGACCUGANAGGGUGAUCGGCCACAUUGGGACUGAGACACGGUCCAAACUCCUACGGGAGGCAGCAGUAGGGAAUCUUCGGCAAUGGACGAAAGUCUGACCGANCAACGCCGCGUGAGUGAAGAAGGUUUUCGGAUCGUANGACUUUGUUGGUAGAGAAGAACGUUGGUGAGAGUGNAAAAGCUCAUCAAGUGACNGUAACUACCCCAGAAAGGGACCGCUAACUACGUNCCANCACCGCGGUAAUNCUUANGUCCNACCNUNUCCGGAUUUAUUGGGNGUAAANCUANCNCCUGUNGGUUAUUAAUCUNGGGNNAANGGCAUUGNUUCAACNUUGGNUNC